UGUAAUUUAGUGUUUAUGCACGGUAAUUUUUGGAAUUUCAGGGUUAGUUUGGUCUUUAUUUACAA
rnacentral:tRNA from 1 species